rnacentral:rRNA from 1 species
UACGUAGGGUGCAAGCGUUAAUCGGAAUUACUGGGCGUAAAGCGUGCGCAGGCGGUGAUGUAAGACAGUUGUGAAAUCCCCGGGCUCAACCUGGGAACUGCAUCUGUGACUGCAUCGCUGGAGUGCGGCAGAGGGGGAUGGAAUUCCGCGUGUAGCAGUGAAAUGCGUAGAUAUGCGGAGGAACACCGAUGGCGAAGGCAAUCCCCUGGGCCUGCACUGACGCUCAUGCACGAAAGCGUUGGGAGCAAACAGG